AAAAUCCGCUGGUUUCACGGGACCGUGAGGGUUCGAAUCCCUCUAUCCCCA
rnacentral:tRNA from 1 species